rnacentral:rRNA from 1 species
GAUGAACGCUGGCGGCGUGCUUAACACAUGCAAGUCGAACGAGAAAUGUAGACGGAAGCCUUCGGGCGGAAGCCUUCAUUUCGAGUGGCGGACGGGGGAGUAACGCGUGGGUAACCUGCCUCAUACAGGGGGAUAACAGUUGGAAACGACUGUUAAUACCGCAUAAGACCACAGCAUCGCAUGAUGCGGGGGUAAAAACUCCGGUGGUAUGAGAUGGACCCGCGUUCGAUUAGCCAGUUGGCGGGGUAACGGCCCACCAAAGCGACGAUCGAUAGCCGAUCUGAGAGGAUGACCGGCCACAUUGGGACUGAGACACGGCCCAAACUCCUACGGGAGGCAGCAGUGGGGAAUAUUGCACAAUGGGGGAAACCCUGAUGCAGCGACGCCGCGUGAGUGAAGAAGUACUUCGGUAUGUAAAGCUCUAUCAGCAGGGAAGAAAAUGACGGUACCUGAGUAAGAAGCCCCGGCUAACUACGUG